CCUACGGGAGGCAGCAGUAGGGAAUAUUGCUCAAUGGGGGAAACCCUGAAGCAGCAACGCCGCGUGGAGGAUGAAGGUUUUCGGAUUGUAAACUCCUUUUGUUAGAGAAGAUAAUGACGGUAUCUAACGAAUAAGCACCGGCUAACUCCGUGCCAGCAGCCGCGGUAAUACGGAGGGUGCAAGCGUUACUCGGAUUCACUGGGCGUAAAGGGCGCGUAGGCGGGAUAGCAAGUCAGAUGUGAAAUCCUAUGGCUUAACCAUAGAACUGCAUUUGAAACUGUUAUUCUAGAGUAUGGGAGAGGUAGGUGGAAUUCUUGGUGUAGGGGUAAAAUCCGUAGAGAUCAAGAGGAAUACUCAUUGCGAAGGCGACCUGCUAGAACAUAACUGACGCUGAUGCGCGAAAGCGUGGGGAGCAAACAGGAUUAGAUACCCCAGUAGUC
rnacentral:rRNA from 1 species